AUACAUUCUUGUUUGUUCUCUGACUAUAAGAGAAGACGAAAGAGAUUUUCACAUUUUACACAUGGAAUAACUGAAUUCCAAAGGAGUAGAGCUCAAAACAAUGCAUACUAGAAGUUGUAUGGAAUUCUAUAAAAGAAAGUAUGCAAUACAAUCCCUACCCUUUAAGUCCCUUAAUGUUUUUUCUUCAGUAUUAGGAACUGAACUCCGAGUGUCCACACUGAGAAAAAUUCCCUCUUGUUUUUAUUUUUAUUUUUCACUUUGUGGCACAGUCUUAGUAAGUUUCUAAAUUGACCAGGCUGGGCUCAAACUUGUGAUCUUCCUGACUCAGUCCCCCAGAGUCCUGGGAAUACAGGAGUAUACCAUCAUGUCUAGCAAGUUACUUAUAAUCUUCAAACAAAAAUCCCAUCGACUAUUUAUUUAACAAAACCAGCUUCACACAUCAACAUAAAUUAAGUAUUAUUAGAGAGUUACAGGAACAGCUCAGACCCAAAGGCUGGUCCCCAGCCAACUCUACAACUGGAUUCCACACCUUGGCUCAGCCACCACCAAUGUGAAGCUGGCUCUGCGUUGUUUCCCCUUGCAUGGGACAGCAGGACAGAUGCACUGAGUAAAGAUCCACUAAGAGGGAAAGAUCGGGAAGAUCCAACAUGGCUGAGUAAAGAAGCCAUGUCAGAGAGACUCAGAGAACAUCAACAAAAAACAGAGAGGAGAGUCUUACCAUAAAAGGAAAGAGACAUGAGAAUAGACUAACCAAACACAAUGUGGUAACCAUAGCUGCUUUGAUGAUUCCAACUCAAAGAACACUAUUUAGAGACAACCACAGAACAUUCCACAAGAAAGACAGACUUACAUGGGGACAGAGAGAACUGGUGGCAGUUGAAAUAUGCAAAGAAAACACAUAGUAUCCUAUCCCUUCCAUAGUAAAUGGGAAUUGGUCUGCCGAUUCCAUCAUCGUACCCAGAGAGAGGGACAGCAAGAGUUCCUAACUCAAGAACUCAAGUCUGGAUCAGACUCUGCAAAAAUCCCUGCAACCUGGUGGAAAGAAGCCUGAUUGUGAGCAUCAAUAUUGCAAUAGAAGACUCAGAGGGGUUAUUGGGGUGUGAGCACUCAGAAUUUCUGGCAAAGAAGCUACAUGUGAACCACAUACAUAGUCUCACUGGAAUAUUUAAUCUGUGCUCCCAUGGGUUAUCUUUUCUUUUUUUUUUUAGGUUUGAGUGUUGUUUGUUUCUUGAUUUAAUUAGUAGUGUGGGGUUAUGUUAUGUUCUAUCAUGGCUAUUUGUGUUUAUUAGGUUUUUAUAUAUUUUCCAUUGGCUCUGAUCUAAUAGGGUCUAUCUUCUCUCCCUUGUCUCAAGUCCCUACCUACCUUCUUAACUGGAAACCCCCAAAGCAGUACUACUACUAUAUUUCUUCUUUCUUUCUUUCUCUAAAUACAUAAAGCCAUUUUUAAUUUUCUAUACUUAGCUCCCCCACAGUCACUGUUUUCUUCUCCAGCAUUAACCUCUGAUUCUCCCCAUCAUAUCUCUUCUUGCCUACUGUCUUCUCUUCUUGCCCCAACAAGUAUCUCACACUUGCCCAAACAAGUAUCCUCUGAACACUCUCAAUACUAACUCUCAACUCAACUAAAACAUAUUCCAGUAGAAUCAAACCCAACACCACACUUUUCUUUCCAUCUGUACUAUCCCCCCACAACAAACCUCCCCUUAAGUGUCUUACACACCUCAUCCAGCCACCCUUAAUUUCACCUACCCCACUGCAGAACAAUCACAAAUAAUAAUCAGUCUGCAUAAAGGUGAGACAAAGGGGGGAAAUGUAACUGCAAGGGCUAUCAUAUAGAAGUGUUGUAUGACUGAGUCUGCUGAUACUAUUAUAACCAAAAGUAAUUCUUUCAGCAAAACAAAGGGACAGAGUCUAAAUCACUUAAUGUCAAUAAAAAGGAAAAAAUAUUUUCACUGGACAUACAAAGCUGAAAAUUAUUCACAGGGAAGCAACAUGCUACUAAGAACUCCACAUAAACUACAACUUCUCCUCACUUUUCUAGCCCUCAACUUGCAGUAGUCCAAAAAAAUCCCCUAAAAAAUCCCCUAAAAAAGGAGGUGGAAAGAAGAGGGGGGAAUAUACAUAUCAAAUACAGAUACACAUACAAGCAUGAGGAAGCAAGGCAACAGAAGACGCUUGAGUUGAGUUCAUCCAGCCCUCUCAAAGCAGUGGAAGUGGUCACAAAGGGAGAAGAAAACAAACACCAGUAGGACAACUCUACAAAAAGCUCAUAAAGUGGAUGAAGAAAAUAUAUGAGUUCAGAAAGAACCAAAAACUUCAUAGCAAUUUCACUCAAUAUGCCCACAGAGAACUUCAAGGAAACAGAUAAAAAAACUGGACAAGCUAAACCAAGGCAAUUCUAAAUUUAAAUGGCAGAUUCAAGGAUACAGAAUCCUCAAAAGAAAAUGCCAGACAGAAAUAUCUAAAAUAAAAAACUGUACAGAACUCACAGAUUGCAGAAAUGACCAACAUAAAGACAGAGUAUCU
ensembl:lincRNA